rnacentral:misc_RNA from 1 species
GUGAAUCAUCAAAUUUUUGAACGCAAAUUGCGCUUCCUGGCAUCUAGGGAAGUAUGCCUGUUUUUGGGUCAGUAUUAAUAAAAAAUCGGAUUAGUUACAAAUUGUGACGUUUCCGGAGUUUGGGAUACCUUAACAUUUUUGGUUAAGUGGUUUAUAAUUGACCUUUUUUGCGCAUUUUUAUACGUACAUAAAUUUUUUUUAUUCGUCUAUUUUUAAUGCCAUUAUCUUAUUAGUUGUGAUCACAUCGUGUGUGUUAG